UACGUAGGGAGCAAGCGUUGUCCGGAAUCAUUGGGCGUAAAGCGCGCGUAGGUGGCCCGAUAAGUCCGCUCUGAAAGUCACAGGCUCAACCUGUGAAAGCGGGUGGAUACUGUCGGGCUAGAGUCCGGAAGAGGCGAGUGGAAUUCCUGGUGUAGCGGUGGAAUGCGCAGAUAUCAGGAGGAACACCAAUGGCGAAGGCAGAUCUCUGGGCCGUAACUGACGCUGAGGAGCGAAAGCAUGGGGAGCGAACAGG
rnacentral:rRNA from 1 species